rnacentral:lncRNA from 1 species
GCUCUUUUUCUCAUUCUAAAUUACAUAAAAUCAUUCCCUACUGUUGUGUUUCCAUGUAAGCAACCAAACAAAGCACUAUGGAUGUAUCGUGAUGUCCCAAGUCCAAGGAGUGGCUGCUGUGACUCUGAAUGUGAAAGAUAGUUUGAGGCGAAUCUCCUGUAAAACUCCUAUUUGUAUUUCAACAGAUCUAUCAUAUCUAAGGAAUGCAAUGUCUCCAGAGUUGCGAGGACAUCAAAUUCCUAUGGCCAAGGAUCAAAAAGAAGGUGAAGCUCUCUUGUGUCAGCGGAAGGCUGAUUUUGGGGAUGGGAAGAUAACUCAGUGAAAUUUCUAAUAAUGACAAGAAGACUUCAAAGAAAGUUGCAGCCAAAAAAAAAGAGUGAUCUGGGGAAGAGUGGAAAAACAAUGACAAUAUAUCUUUCUUGCGUAAGACAAAG